GAUGAACGCUGGCGGCGUGCCUAAUACAUGCAAGUCGAGCGAACGGACGAGAAGCUUGCUUUUCUGAUGUUAGCGGCGGACGGGUGAGUAACACGUGGAUAACCUACCUAUAAGACUGGGAUAACUUCGGGAAACCGGAGCUAAUACCGGAUAAUAUUUUGAACCGCAUGGUUCAAAAGUGAAAGACGGUUUUGCUGUCACUUAUAGAUGGAUCCGCGCUGCAUUAGCUAGUUGGUAAGGUAACGGCUUACCAAGGCAACGAUGCAUAGCCGACUUGAGAGGGUGAUCGGCCACACUGGAACUGAGACACGGUCCAGACUCCUACGGGAGGCAGCAGUAGGGAAUCUUCCGCAAUGGGCGAAAGCCUGACGGAGCAACGCCGCGUGAGUGAUGAAGGUCUUCGGAUCGUAAAACUCUGUUAUUAGGGAAGAACAUAUGUGUAAGUAACUGUGCACAUCUUGACGGUACCUAAUCAGAAAGCCACGGCUAACUACGUG
rnacentral:rRNA from 1 species